GACGAACGCUGGCGGCGUGCUUAACACAUGCAAGUCGAACGGAGCGAAUGAAAGCUUGCUUUUAUGAGCUUAGUGGCAAACGGGUGAGUAACACGUAGACAACCUGCCGACAGGAUGGGGACAACAUUCCGAAAGGAAUGCUAAUACCGAAUGAAGCGGAGGAGAGGCAUCUCUCUUCCGUGAAAGAUGGCCUCUUUUUAUGCUAUCACCUGUUGAUGGGUCUACGUCUGAUUAGCUGGUAGGUGAGGUAACGGCUCACCCAGGCGACGAUCAGUAGCCGGUCUGAGAGGAUGAACGGCCACAUUGGGACUGAGACACGGCCCAGACUCCUACGGGAGGCAGCAGUGGGGAAUCUUCCGCAAUGGGCGCAAGCCUGACGGAGCAACGCCGCGUGAGUGAAGAAGGUCUUCGGAUCGUAAAGCUCUGUUGACGGGGACGAACGUGCGUGAUGCGAACAGUGUCAUGCAAGACGGUACC
rnacentral:rRNA from 1 species